GGGCCAAUCAUGAACAUACACGUACAAUCAGGCUCUUUCAGAAACCAAUCAUGAACACCACUGACUCAUGGAACAGGUCUCUAAAAAGCUUAUUUUCGUUUGAGGGAAGCAUCUUAUUUUUUAUCUGUCAUUUGGGUGACACUGUCAACUUGCUUUGCUGAGGCUAAAACCUGUGAUUUGACCAGUUUUGAGAUGGAUAACUUCACCAGCAACACAUGGGCUUCACUUGCUCUUCUGGAGAUGUUCGAUUUCAUCGAUGAUCUGAUCGAUGCUCUGCUCGAUGAUCGGAUGGAUGUUCAGACCGAAGCUCUGACCCAUGCUCUGAUCCAUGCUGGGCUCAAUGUUCAGAGCAAUGUUCGGAUCGAUUUUGGGAAACAUGCUCUGAUCGAUGAUCUGAUCGAUGCUCUGAUCAAUUUUCAGACUGAUGAUCUGAUGCAUACUCUGAUCGAAGCUCUGAUCAUUUUUCGUAUCGAAGCUCCGAUCAGUGUUUGGUUCAAUGCUUGGAUCCCUGCUCCGAUCCAUACUUUUACCCGUCUGCUGAGGGACCCCCUGAUUGAGAGCCUUCCUAUCUUCUAUCAGCAACGCAGAAAUCCUCUUCAGCUCUUCUUCUCCGCCAUGACAACCGAUCCAGGCCAGAAGCAAUGGGUAGACAAGGGCAGAUGCUCGGAGCGACCACAAAAAGACCAAGCUACUACUACUCCUCCUCCGGAUGUGUGGUCUUCAGCCUCCCCUUGGGGCGAGGACUAUAUCAAGGACCAGGGCCAGGACUAUAACAAGGACCAGGGCCAGGACUAUAACAAGGACCAGGGCCAGGACUAUAACAAGGACCAGGAGCAGGACUAUAACAAGGACCAGGACCAGGGCCAAGGUAACGGAUGGAGAACACAUGGACGACAUGGAGACCUAUGUGACAUCGCUGCCCUCCUGUUUCUGGGUUGUCAGUAGUUAACAUAGCCACACAAAGUCAACAUUGGCUAAAUUGUAAACAUUAAUCAAGACAAAAAUUAGCUUUUUAGUUUUAAUUUAAAGUUAGGGUUAGGUUUAAAAUCACAUUUUAAGAAGAUAAACUGUAGAAAUAGGCGGGGUUUAUGACUUUGUGGCUGUGGUAACUGGUGACGAGCGAUAGCACCAACCCCCAAGGGAGAUUAGCUGACAUCAUGGCGUCAACUAAUGGAGAUCUUAAUAAAAUUCAAGUUCACUCUGUCGUCUCUUUCCCUUUCUCCAUAUCUCUCUGUGGUUCUUUCUCUCUCUUGCGGAUUACCUUCAUUUUGAUGUGAGGUGAAGCGAUGAAGACUGAUAAAAGAGUCUUUGUUUACUCCCCUUCAUGGAUCCAAGACUUAACAAGCGCCCACUUACUAACGUUACACAAUUCAGCUUUGCUUUGACAUCCGCUAUCAGAUCCAUGAAGGGGAGUGAACAAGGGCAGGAGAGACCAUCUUCCUGGAAUGAAACAGGCUGAGUUUAAAGUGUGACCAUGCUAUUUUGUAAAAAUAUUGUAUUGUAGUUCAGAACCUCUACUCCUGUCAGGUCAGUCUAUUUUUGAUUGCUACUGGUGACCCUGUAACCCGGUACUAUCCUGUGUCAGUAAUUUUAGAUAUAUAUGGUUAAAUUCAAAAAGAUUUGUAAUAUUGAUAUUGUGCGUGACGUAAAUAUGUCCUUUGGAGUGGAACUUGAGGCAGAAGCUUUUUCUGACUCUGAGCAGGCGACAAAGAUUCUAUACAGACGCAAACGUCGGGAAAGCAUGGAGGAGCCUAUAUUUUUUAGCUCAGAAACUGAGAUCUACAUAAGUAAAGAUGCAGAUUAUCAGACAUUGAGAGUGAAAAACAAUGGCAUAGACUCUUCUCAACGCAAACGUAGGAAUGGCUUACAUAUUCCACCAAAUUUUUGAGCAGAGCUGUAACAUGCACACUGCAACAUAUACAUGCUUUAUGUAUACUUCAGAGAUACAUAGUCACACUUUAAACCAGGUAUACUCUAUCUAAUAAAGCCUUCAUGACACCUUCAUAAUGUCCUACAUAGAGGCUACAUAAAUCAUUUGAAAUGUCAUGCUGCAAGAAAAGGUGAUAUAACAGGUCCUUUGUUAUGGUCCCUCCCCAAAUGUAUAACGCCUAACCCCAAAAAGGUUGAGACAACAUGUUCUAAGUUGCCAAUGAUGCAAAUGUUACAUCAGGUCUUAGGCCUGAAAGAGACAGUUGUUUUGGUCUAUUUCUGACUCACCUAAGGUGUUUUUAAGUAUAUUAGCUUAAAGGGCAUCUCCACCACUUUUUAACCUCAUUCUCAUUAUGUCCAGCACAAUACCAGUGUCAACAUAUGUGAACACGGCACAUUUGUGCGUUUUGUAGAAAAAUUAUAUUAAAAGACAUCAAAAGUUAAAACAUUUAAAAAUCUGUGAUUUUCACGGUAACCUGGGGAGCAAGAUAAUAUCCUCCAUUGGGCCAGAAACUUGUUGAAGGUUUUGAAAAACACUUACUUUUAAUCCUAACCUCUGCAUUUUUAAGGACCUUGUCUUUUAAACCCCAGAUCACAGAAACGCCCUGUUUUCACAUAUUUAGACACUGGUUUUGUCUUGGAGUUGAUGAAUAUAAGGUUGAGAAAUAGCGGAAUUGCUCUUUAACAUUGUUCAGAAAAUCCUGGAAAGCAUUGAAAAUGUACCAAUGUAUUAUUCAAAAUCAUGGCGCAACAUUGCUUUUGAACCAGCUAACAAACUGUUUGUUAAUUGUUUAGAUGAAUUAACAACACCCUAGAUAAGUAAGAACUGUCCCUUCAACAGAUUAUUUAUAUAUUUUUAUAUAUAUUUAUAUUUGUUUGAUGUAAUUUGCAUGUAUAUAUGGCUUACUUGAAUUCAAGUGACUGUCAGAUCACAAUUAACAUUGCAUGGAGCAUGAGUUAUACUCGAAGGAGGUAGACAGAAGGACGGCAUAUUAACCAUUUGAGCUUCAUUGCUCUGUAGAAAAUGUGCCCUACAUCAAAAACUGUUUGUCACCCUUGAUACAGUAUAAGGUUAAACUACUGUCAUACUAACAUCGAUGAUUGCUCCUUCUGUGUUUUAAAUAUAGAUAUCGUUUGUAUUUUUAAUAUGUUAAUAAAAAUCUGCUAUUUUAUUUUUGUCCCCAUGCAGUCCUAAUUUUAAACUGAGUAAAUUAAGACUGAUUAAUUGUUUUAGAACAAAAUACACAUUUCCUGUAUCAUUAGCACAACCUUGUUAUAUUGGGACAAAAACCUAUCCAAUGUAGAACACUUUUUGAAUCCUCUUAGAAAGGCUCUCAGGAAAUGUACUGGGAUGAUCAUGUCUUAAAAUAAGGUUGACACUAAGAAACAACAUUUACUGGGAUUAACAUCUAAACCACGAAAUGUAUGACUGACUGGAAAAAUAACUGUCACUGGACAAUGAGAUGAAUAAGUCAGAUCAGAGUUUACAAUCUGUCAAAUACUUACUGUUUAAAACAUUCAGGAACUACACUGAGUGUACAAAACAUGAUGGACACCUGUUCUUCCAUGACAUACUAUAGACUGACUGAACAGGUGAAUCCAGGUGAAAGCUAUGAUAUUUUAUUGAUGUCACUUGUUAAAUUCACUUCAAUCAGUGUAGAUGAAGUGGAUGAGACAGGUUAAAUAAUAAUUGUAAGCCUUAGGACAAUUGAGACAUGGAUUGUGUAUGUGUGCCAUUCAGAGGGUGAAUGGGCAAGACAAAAGAUUGAAGUGCCUUUGAAUGGGGUAUGUUAGUAGGUGCCAGGUGCACCGGUUUGUAUCAAGAACUGCAACACUGCUGGGUUUUUCAGCCUCAACAUUUUCCUGUGUGUAUUAAGAAUGGUCCAUCACCCAAAAGACAUCUAGCCAACUUGACAUUUUACAUUUACAUUUUAGUCAUUUAGCAGACGCUCUUAUCCAGAGCGACUUACAGUAGUAAAAGUUCAUACAUUUAAUUUCAUGCAUUUUCUUUUUUGUUGUUGUUGUACCGGCCCCCCGUGGGAAUCGAACCCACAACCCCGGCGUUGCACACACCAUGUUGGCGUUGCAAACACCAUGCUCUACCAACUGAGCCACAGGGAAGUAGGAAGCAUUGGUGUCAACAUGGGCCACCAGCAUCCCUGUGGAACGCUUUCGACACCUUGUAGAGUCCAUGCCCCGACGAAUUGAGUCUGUUCUGAGGGCAAAAGGGUGCAACUCAAUAUUAGAAAGUUGUUCAUGUUUUGUCCACUCAGUGUAUGUUAACAGUUCCAUUAUACAGGUGUGCUAUUCAGAGGACAAAAGGACCCAUAUCAUUACUAGCAAAAAACUUGGAAAGAGAACUGCCAAUUAUCAAUUAACAUUUGAAGAGUUUCAUUCAGAGAGUUUCAAUGCUAUAUAUCCAUUUUAUGAAAUUGUUGUAAUUGAACUUUUUUGGUUUAAUAAGGAUCUGACCAUAAAAAAUAAAUGUUUUGCCUAAAAUGGCAUACCCAAGGAUAUGCAUAUUCUUGAUACCAUUUGAAAGGAAACACUUUGAAGUUUGUGGAAAUGUGAAAUAAAUGUAGGAGAAUAUAACACAUUAGAUCUGGUAAAAGAUAAUACAAACAAAAAAACAUGUGUUUUCAGUUUAUGAAUGGUCUAUGUUUCUUCGUUUUUUAAUGACUCGAGCCGGUUGACGACGAUCAUAAAAUGGCAC
rnacentral:lncRNA from 1 species